GCCCAGUCCCAUUGGCGCUACGCCACUGUUUGAAUCCCACCACCAGGGGAACCUGUUACUAACAUUUUUGGAUCCCACCACUGCUUGAGAGUCAUGGGGAAAGGAACUACCCAAAGCACUGGUUUUCCUCAAGGCACUGCCCAUACACUUUUAGGGAGUUCUUUGCGUCCGUAAGGAGCCCUGUAAUGCAGAGUGUUAAACUGCAGCACUGUAGCCGACGCUCUGCUCACAACCUGAGUUCGACCCUGACGGAAGUCAGUUGCAGGUAGCUAGCUCAAGGUUGACUCCGCCUUCCAUCCAUCCAAGGUCAGUAAAAUUAGUACCUAGCUCGGUGGGGGUAAAGUGUAGACAACUGGGGGAGGCCGUGGCAAACCACCUCAUAAACAUAGUCUGCUUAGCUGGGCCUGAGUUCUGCCUGGCUAGGCAAAGGGAACAAAUGUCUGCAAAACAAAUGUCCCUGGGCCUACCAUGCAAUAACAAGAAAGACACCUGCCCAUGACUCUGUAAGCGUUACCUGGUUGGACCUCGAUGGCCUUGACUAGCACAAUUUCUUCUGAUCCCAGAAGCUAAGCAGGGUCAUCCCUAGUUAGUAGAAGUACAAAGACCUUUCUUAGGCACAUUUGUGCUACAUAAAAUUACAACAAGAAAAGGUAUAACGUUGGCUAUUAAUUCCCUCUUAGUGACAUGACCUGCAACAAGUAGUAUGCUGUUUUCCCUAAAAUCAGAGGAUCGUUACUAUUAAAUAGUUUUACCAGGCAAACUUUGGGAGACGCGUUACCCAUGAUUGGUGAUAAUAGAGCUUCCCUCUGUGAAUUCUAUUUUGGGCAGUAACAUACAAUAUGCUCCAGAGUUUCCACUGCAGUAGGACAAUGUGGGCAUACGCUGUCCGAUAGGGGGAGCUUCUCAAUCCGACCUUGUAAAAGGGCAGGGGAGAAGACAUUGCAUCUGGCUCUAGUCAGAACCCAGCAUUGUGUAGGCUCUGAGAUUUGUGAUAGAUAACUGGCCAUCUUGCCCAUGUCGGGAUUGACACCUAGGUGUAAUGGGGAGCAUGAUGUUGUUGCAUGGCUGAUUAAAUAUUGUUGCUCCUGAUCAAAUAGUCUAGUGAGUUUACCCAUGAUUGUGUUCCACCAUUCUGAAUCUUGCAGGUCUAACAUGCUGCCAGAAUCUAAAUGAAAGCCCUUGUUAGUACUUGAAUGGGGGACCACCAAGUAAGUCCGUCAAGUGUCACUAUGCAGAGGCAGGCAAUAGCAAACCAACUCUGUUAUUCUCUUGCCUUGAAAACCCUACAGGAUCGCCAGAAGUUGUCUGCAAUUUGAUGGCACUUUACAUACACGCACAGCAUAGGAUGCUAGCACUGCUUUGGGGAGACUGGGGGCCAAGUCAACACACUUGGCCCUUGAGAAAAUGCCCCUUCUGGGCACCUGGAAAAGGUUGGCCCUAUUCCAAGGGCCAGAAGCUUCAGGUCCUUUGAAGAGCUUGGAAAGAGUCAGUAGUUUCCUCUCUUGGUUCAGUGGCAGGCAAAGGUGGUGCCUGGUGAAUAUCAUCCCUCUUCUUAGCCAGAAGAGGACCCCUGUGCGGACCCCCCACCCAGAAGUGUCAUCAUGAGACAGCAUCCCUGCCUACACUCUUGUUGGAUCUCUCUGGGCUGGUAGCCAGGCAGGAUACUGGAAAAACCCAAGGGGGCCCUGUGGGAUUUGAGCUGAAGAACAGGGGAAAGAGCCCUGGGAUUUGGAAGGCAGUCACAGAGGACAAUAUCUGGAAAACAUCAUGAUUGUUUUCAUUGGAAACUCAUUUAUGAUACCAGCUAAUGACUCCUUGGUUUUAGCAGCAAAAGAGAGAGCCAGUGUUAAAAAAGGAAAAUAAAGCCGGUCGGGUAGUCUAUUCCAAGUUGACUUCCCAUGCUACAAUAAGGACCAGAGGCAGAUUUGCAGGUCACAAUACAGACCCCCUUUCUCCACCUGCCUCAAGGAUUCUGCCCUGACUCAUCUGCCCGCGAUAGCCAACAAGGAUGCCCAGUUGUGCUGCAUCAAGGUAAAGGAACAGGUAUACAACUGGGGAGGGGCAGGAUGGUCAAGACAAGACAAUACCUGUGCUUCUCCCAGUUCCUUGGAGCUUUGAAAGGUAAGGGUGAAUCUUGGCCUCCUACCCCCCAACAAAAUAAUUUGUAUAUGACAAUGCACGGGGGGGGGGGGGGUUAGGAAGUGACCACUAUCUUCGAUGCAGUGUUUUGGACAAGAUGACCUUCUGAUAUUUGUUGGUCUGCAAAUUUGCAAAGCAGCAGCUGCUGCUGCUGCUUAUUUUAUCCAGCUCCUAUUCUUCUUUCAUGAUGUGUGGUUGACUGUAGGAUUAGUGGGAAGAACGUUUGGCUGCAAAGAAGAAGAAGAAGAGUUUGGAUUUAUAUCCCUCCUUUCCUGCAAGGAGACUCA